rnacentral:rRNA from 1 species
UACAGAGGGUGCAAACGUUGUUCGGAAUUACUGGGCGUAAAGCGCGUGUAGGCGGUCGGGCAAGUCGGAUGUGAAAGCCCAGGGCUCAACCCUGGAAGUGCACUCGAUACUGCUCGGCUAGAGUCCCGGAGAGGAUGGUGGAACUCUCGGUGUAGAGGUGAAAUUCGUAGAUAUCGAGAAGAACACCGGUGGCGAAGGCGGCCAUCUGGACGGUGACUGACGCUGAGACGCGAAAGCGUGGGGAGCAAACAGG